CCUACGGGAGGCAGCAGUGGGGAAUAUUGCACAAUGGGGGAAACCCUGAUGCAGCGACGCCGCGUGGGUGAAGAAGUAUCUCGGUAUGUAAAGCUCUGUCAGCAGGGAAGAAAAUGACGGUACCUGACCAAGAAGCCCCGACUAACUACGUGCCAGCAGCCGCGGUAAUACGUAGGGCGCAAGCGUUAUCCGGAUUUACUGGGUGUAAAGGGGGCGUAGACGGCGUGGCAAGACUGGAGUGAAAGGCGGGGGCUCAACCCCCGGACUGCUCUGGAAACUGCGAGGCUGGAGUGCAGGAGAGGUAAGGGGAAUUCCGGGUGUAGCGGUGAAAUGCGUAGAUAUCAGGAGGAACACCAGUGGCGAAGGCGGCUUACUGGACUGUAACUGACGUUGAGGCCCGAAAGCGUGGGGAGCAAACAGGAUUAGAUACCCUAGUAGUC
rnacentral:rRNA from 1 species